GUAUGGAAAUCAUCAGGAGCAGAGACACCAUGAGCUGGACAAGACAGUGUUACCUUACUGGUGACCUCUGCAUUCUCUGCUGCUGCCAAGACUGACACUCUUUCAGUUGCUGCUUCUCCCUGCAGCUCAGCAGACAUCUGCACAUGGGAUGAUGAGCAGGAAUCACUCUCAGGUGCACAGACAGCCUCUGUACACUUGCUGAAAACGCUGGCCACAGGUAUCAGCUGACCUCCAUCACAAUCAGGUCAUCUAUAGAGAAACUGUCAAAGGACUCUUCCUCCUCCUCCUCCUCACACUCUUCUUCAUCCCUGGUAUCAUCUGGGGACCCAGUGUACUUCCACACCACUGUGCUGUAAUGUGUACCUCCACUGAUUGCACAAUCUGCCAGCAGCAACCUGUGUAGUACACCCCAGAUGGUUGCCCUGGAUGGCUCCUCCACGGGCAGGCUGUAUUUCAUAUGGAUCUUUUCAUGUGGGGUAUAGCAUACUACUACACAAGUGUCAGUUUCCCCAUAUAUGCAUUCGGACCUUGUAUGGCUCACCUCCCACAGUGUUACUUUCGUAGUGUGCCCAACAUGGCUGCCUCAUCUGCUACACUUGUGGAUGGGAUGAAAAAUACAUGGACCUGACGUUUUUAUUGGGACCCUACUCUGAGAGUUAGGACGCUGCAAUCACCCCAUUUGUGUCAUAUUUUCUAGGUUUAGACUAUCCCACCCAGGGUAAUCCUACGCAGUGCGCCCAAGAGGACUGCCUCGCCUGGUACCAAGUGAGGGCGGAAUACACAACCCAUGGAAGUUAUUACUCAAAAUGCCUACACCAAUCCUGCAUUAUGCUUACAGUGUGCUCUAGAUUAUUAUUUUUUUAAUGUCUGUGUGGAUUGUUUAUUGCUGUAUUACCUAAAUAUUCUGUGUUAUGUGCAUUGUUUUUGAUGUCUGUAAAGCACCUUGAGUUUUG